CAAGACCUUGCGCCGAUGGAUGAGCCGAAGUCGGAUUAGCUAGUUGGUAGGGUAACGGCCUACCAAGGCGACGAUCCGUAGCUGGUCUGAGAGGACGACCAGCCACACUGGGACUGAGACACGGCCCAGACUCCUACGGGAGGCAGCAGUGGGGAAUUUUGGACAAUGGGGGCAACCCUGAUCCAGCAAUGCCGCGUGUGUGAAGAAGGCCUUCGGGUUGUAAAGCACUUUUGUCAGGAACGAAACGGACUAGGCUAAUACCUUGGUCUAAUGACGGUACCUGAAGAAUAAGCACCGGCUAACUACGUGCCAGCAGCCGCGGUAAUACGUAGGGUGCAAGCGUUAGUCGGAAUUACUGGGCGUAAAGCGUGCGCAGGCGGUUUUGUAAGUCUGACGUGAAAUCCCCGGGCUUAACCUGGGAAUG
rnacentral:rRNA from 1 species